rnacentral:lncRNA from 1 species
UUACAGAAGGUAAAAGAAAUGGAUGAUGAAAGAGGAAUGGUCUGAGAAAGAGAACAUUCCUUUUGCUAGUGUGUUCUUGUUGGUGUGGUGUUCUCCCUUUUUUUCCUCGUGUCCUUCUAGUUCUUGCUCCUUCCUUUAUAGGGAUCAUAUGAGUUCUUCCUUCUCACAACAUGUGCAAUCUAACUUGAGGAUAAAAGCUCCCUAGUGUCCCAAUAGAAAGACACCAAGUAUUGUGCAAAUUAUUAGCCAUAAUAUGUGUUCGAAUAGCAAGACAACAUGUGUUAAACUAAUCAUUAAUAAUGAUAUGUGUUCCAAUAACAAAGCAACAUGUGUUGAGCUAAUCCUGAACAAAAAAUAUCAUGUAAGAUGGAUGCAUGUCUGGAUGCAUGUCUAAGGCCACGUUAAAGUUUAUCUUAUGGUAAGCUGGUUGGAACAAAACAUAUGGUAACUCUACAAAUUGGUAGGAUAUCCGGAUGGUGAAUUAAAAGCUCCAAAACCCAUGGUUAUAAUCACACCUCAAACUAAAACCAAAAGAGUAGCACACUAUUUAGUUGCUAGUGGCACGCAAAUGAGAAAUACAAAGCCUAACAAAUCAAUCUACAAAUAAAGUGAAACAUAUAUGUAUUUGUUAACUAAUGAAAAAAAGAACUUGGUAUAUCAAACUUUAGCAUAAUACACAAAUUAAAAGUACUUCGACACUUAUAUAUAUACCCACUUUUUAAAUUACGGAGUAUUACACUUGCAAAUGCCUCUUGUAUAAAGUUGUUUUAGUCCUUUCACUAUCAACCUUAACAUACACGACAUUGUUCACCUUUUAACUCCAAGCAUGAACUUUCCCCUCCUAAAAACUUAGGCUCCAAAUCAUUUCAAUUGUUGCCUAAUUUUUUUGGGAGGAAAGCCCAUAUUUGAAUCCAAAAGUAGAAAAUGUUAUGGUUGCUAGACCUGAAUAGUUAACACUCUAUAACAAAUAUACUUAUAAUUUUGAGUUUGUUUUUGUAUUGCAUGUGGUUUAAUAUUCUAGUGAAUAGAUUAUUGAGUUUCCACACAGAUGUCCUGGUUCGGAAUUCUCCCCUCAUAAAUUAUUAAAAAAAUAGGUAACAAAUUGAAAUUUAAAUAAAAGUUAAGGUGACAAAUAAAAAAUUUGCCUUUUCUUCCCUAGUCUGCAACUGGACCAUCAACAUCAAGGCUCAAAUCAUAGACCCAAAAAUGCCUUAUUAAAUUAUAUGAAUUCCUGAACAUAUUCUUAAAUUUUAGUGGUGGGAUCUCCAUCCAAUGGUGGUGGUUCAUGAACAUAUCUAUAAACAUUUUGUAUGAAUAAGUAGAAUAUACAUCCAUUUGCUAAGAUAUAUUCAAAUCUGGCAAGCCAGUCCCCUGCCCACUACCAAAAGCCAAAGCUAAAAUACAAUUACAAUUAAUUAUUAAAAUGUGUAUUAUAUAAAAGGAAAGGGUGCACAAAGGGAUAAAAGGAGCAUGUAGACCUGAUAUUUAUCACCUUCCUUCUCUUCUAAUGCCAGCGAGCAGUGAUUGAGUGACGUUUACAGGAGAAGGCGCAGGGUCAAUCCAGGGAGUGUCAGCACCACUUGCAUUGCUGCCUCCCGGCUGAUAGUUGAGGCGAACAUUACUAUCCUUGGAUGCAGUUGAUGAGGUAUCAUCCUCCACCAAAAAUCUACCUGUUGAAAAUGUUGUUACAUCUUUAAAAUUAUAAUCUGUCAAAUAGCUUGGUUUCGACAUGACAGUGCCUGUGUCAAUGUCUCCAGAGAGCAUUGCAACCACGCGUGACAUAGAUGGCCU